ACAAAGGUAAAAUUAGAAACACAAGCAAGACAAAACAAAAUAAUAAAGCACAAGUACUCCCGCAGAAAUAACGUAAAUAAUUAUGGAAACAUAAGCAAUAUAAAUACAGUCGCAUGCAAUAAUAACAAGCAGUAACUACCAUACUAAAAACCCUCUGGGGACAUAAGUUAAAACACUAAUCACCUAUGGGUAACCCUACUAUCCCACACCCAACCCCGGGAAAGGCGUACGGAGAACUCUAUGAGCCCCUAGCCUACAAUCCUGAUUNNNN
rnacentral:lncRNA from 1 species